CUCAUGGCGGUGUAUUAUUAAAGAGUCGAUCAUCAUUUGUGAGCAUAGAGCUCACAGCUCGUUGUGAAAUAGAGCUUCAAGAUUCGUACAAAGACCGCGAUUUCUAUAUAUCAGCAAAUGACCGAAUAUAUGCUUAUGUACAAAUGCAAACAUUCAUACAUACGGGACGAUAGAGGAGGGCUGACGAGAGAGCCAGAGAUCGAUAAAGAAAGCAG
rnacentral:lncRNA from 1 species